CCCUCUUGUGGAUUUAUUGUACGGAAUCAACGUUCCCGCGUUCGUCGCCGGUACGUGAAAGUAUGCAGAUAUGGAUGUAUUUUUUACAAAUUUGGUGUUACAGCAUCGAAGAAUUUGGGCCAAUCAAGAUCAAUUUGAAGAUACACGUGUAAUUGUAUUUCUCAUGAAUUUGGCAUUGCAGCAUUGAAGGGUUGAAGACCAAGGAUCUACUCCAAGAUGCAUGAUAUGGUUGUAUUUUUCACGAAUUUGGCGUUGCAGAAUCAAAGGAUUUGGGCCCAUCAAGAUCAAUUUGAAGAUGUGAUUAUACCUAUUUCUGAUGACUUUGGCGUUGCAGUACCGAAGGAUUCGGUUCGGGUCAAGCAGGAUCGACUCCAAGAUGUGGAUAUAUUUCUCACAAAUUUGGCAUUGCAACACUGAAGGAUUUGGGCCAAGCAGGAUUGACUCCAAGAUGCAGAUGUGGAUGUAUUUUUCACGAAUUUGGCGUUACAGCAUUAAAGGAUUUGGGCCAAGCAGAAUCGAUUCGAAAAUGCACAUGUAAUUGCAUUUCUCAUGAAUUUGGCGUUGCAGCAUUGAAGGGUUGAAGACCAAGGAUCUACUCCAAGAUGUAUGAUAUGGUUGUAUUUUUCACGAAUUUGGCGUUGCAGCAUCGAAGGAUUUGGG